rnacentral:rRNA from 1 species
GAUGAACGCUGGCGGCGUGCCUAAUACAUGCAAGUCGAGCGAACGGACGAGAAGCUUUCUUCUCUGAUGUUAGCGGCGGACGGGUGAGUAACACGUGGAUAACCUACCUAUAAGACUGGUAUAACUUCGGGAAACCGUAGCUAAGACCGGAUAAUAUUUUGAACCGCAUGGUUCAAAAGUGAAAGACGGUCUUGCUGUCACUUAUAGAUGGAUCCGCGCUGCAUUAGCUAGUUGGUAAGGUAACGGCUUACCAAGGCAACGAUGCAUAGCCGACCUGAGAGGGUGGUCGACCACACUGGAACUGAGACACAGUCGCGACUCCUACGGGAGGACGCAGUAGGGAAUCCUACGCAAUGGAGCAAAGGCUGACGGAGCAAAGUCGCGUGAGUGAUGAUGGUCUUCGGAUCGUAAAACUCUGUUAUUAGGGAAGAACAUAUGUGUAAGUAACUGUGCACAUCUUGACGGUACCUAAUCAGAAAGCCACGGCUAACUACGUG